rnacentral:rRNA from 1 species
UACGGAGGGUGCAAGCGUUAUCCGGAUUCACUGGGUUUAAAGGGUGCGUAGGCGGGUAAGUAAGUCCGUGGUGAAAUCUCUGAGCUUAACUCAGAGACUGCCGUGGAUACUAUUUGCCUUGAAUAUUGUGGAGGUGAGCGGAAUAUGUCAUGUAGCGGUGAAAUGCUUAGAUAUGACAUAGAACACCAAUUGCGAAGGCAGCUCACUACACAAUCAUUGACGCUGAGGCACGAAAGCGUGGGGAUCAAACAGG